CUCGCCUGAUAUUACUAGGUGAACGACAAGGUAAUCAUCAAAAGUGGAUGGUCAGCAUUGAAUCCUUAAUCGUUUGUGAAGGGUCCAACCUCGCCACAUUUCUAACAGGGAUUGCGACAUGUUUCUCCACCUUCUAUAUUCUGAAUCUGCAAUAUCAGGAGGAGGCAGCGUGCACCCUUGAAUUCUUCCAGAGAAAAAGGCCCAGAAGAAGCCUAAGAACAAUCACUAAUAAGUAAAGUGAAUGUUACUUGAUUUCUCAUGAAUGUUACUUGAUUCCCUCCCUGAUUAUCAUUUAUACUCAUCUCUUACUUUAAAUUCUUCUGGACAUAAUCUGUCAGUUUAUUCAUUCUCACAUGUACACAAGGCCAAUGCGAUGCAAUGAUAUUGAUAAUUGAUAAAUAUCUGUGAUGAUUAUUCUGUAUCUUAUUUGAUUUUGAAAUAGUACUACUUUAGAUAACAUGUCUACAUUUUACAUACAUAUGUGAUACACAAGCCUAAUGCGAUGUUUUUAUUUUCCAUGAUAAUUCUUUUGUACCUUAUUUCCGAUUUUUGAAAUACAACUAGAUCACGUGUCUACAUUUUACAUUCAUACGUGAUACACGAGCCUAAUGCGAUGUUUUUGUUUUUCAUGAUAAUUCUUCUGUACCUUAUUCCUUGUUUUUUGAAAUAAGAUUUUCAAAAUACUACUAGAUAGCGUGUCUACAUUUUAAACGGGCCUAAUGCAAUGUAUUUGUUUUCCAUUGUAAUUCCUCUGUAUCCUAUUACCUGUUCUUUGAAAUCCGAUUUUCAAAAUACUACUAUGUAUCUACAUUUUACAUUCAUACAUGAUACACGAGCCUAAUGCAAUGUUUUUAUUUUCCAUGAUAAUUCUUCUGUGUCUUAUUCCCUGAUCCUGAAAUACGAUUAUAGUCAGUCUACAUGUUCCUGAAUUACUAUUUACUAUUAUCUUGCUUCAUGUCCCUUCAUCUUUCAAAGAUUACAAAGAUUACUUUACUGUUAGACUGUCAAGUAAGUGCUGUGAAAUAAAAUAUCUGUUAAACUACAAAUAAGUAACUGAUGUGAAAAAAUGGAUUUUUAUCUUUAAAAUGUUGAUUUGAGAGUGGAUGAACUCAAUAUAUGGAACUUGUUUCCUGUAAUUGUAAAAAAUUAAAGACCUGUUGUGUAA